rnacentral:rRNA from 1 species
GAUGAACGCUGGCGGCGUGCUUAACACAUGCAAGUCGAACGGAAAGGCCCUUCUUUUGUGGGGUGCUCGAGUGGCGAACGGGUGAGUAACACGUGAGUGACCUGCCCUUGACUUUGGGAUAACUUCAGGAAACUGGGGCUAAUACCGGAUAGGAGCUCCUGCUGCAUGGUGGGGUUGGAAAAGUUUCGGCGGUUGGGGAUGGACUCGCGGCUUAUCAGCUUGUUGGUGGGGUAGUGGCUUACCAAGGCGUUGACGGGUAGCCGGCCUGAGAGGGUGACCGGCCACAUUGGGACUGAGAUACGGCCCAGACUCCUACGGGAGGCAGCAGUGGGGAAUAUUGCACAAUGGGCGGAAGCCUGAUGCAGCAACGCCGCGUGGGGGAUGACGGCCUUCGGGUUGUAAACCGCUUUCGCCUGUGACGAAGCGAGAGUGACGGUAAUGGGUAAAGAAGCACCGGCUAACUACGUG